UCAAAGAAGAUUUGAUUAUAUGAACAAUUUCACAUUAUUCUGGACUUGAUGUUUCAAUAAAACCAACACAAAAGAGCUUUCACUAUGGCAUCUAAACCAGGUUUAUCGAACGUGCUAAAUAUGAAGCCUACCAGUUCCUUGCGAUAUACAAAAUAUUUUCCAAAUAAUUUAGAGUAUGCAAGCAAGGUUUAUCCGG